rnacentral:rRNA from 14 species
GGAGGAAGGUGGGGAUGACGUCAGGUCAUCAUGGCCCUUACGGCCAGGGCUACACACGUGCUACAAUGGUCGGUACAGAGGGUUGCCAAGCCGCGAGGUGGAGCUAAUCCCAUAAAACCGAUCGUAGUCCGGAUCGCAGUCUGCAACUCGACUGCGUGAAGUCGGAAUCGCUAGUAAUCGUGAAUCAGAAUGUCACGGUGAAUACGUUCCCGGGCCUUGUACACACCGCCC